rnacentral:rRNA from 1 species
CCGCGUGAAUGAUGAAGGUCUUAGGAUUGUAAAAUUCUUUCACCGGGGACGAUAAUGACGGUACCCGGAGAAGAAGCCCCGGCUAACUUCGUGCCAGCAGCCGCGGUAAUACGAAGGGGGCUAGCGUUGCUCGGAAUUACUGGGCGUAAAGGGAGCGUAGGCGGAUAGUUUAGUCAGAGGUGAAAGCCCAGGGCUCAACCUUGGAAUUGCCUUUGAUACUGGCUAUCUUGAGUAUGGAAGAGGUAUGUGGAACUCCGAGUGUAGAGGUGAAAUUCGUAGAUAUUCGGAAGAACACCAGUGGCGAAGGCGACAUACUGGUCCAUUACUGACGCUGAGGCUCGAAAGCGUGGGGAGCAAACAGGAUUAGAUACCCUGGUAGUCCACGCCGUAAACGAUGAGUGCUAGUUGUCGGCAUGCAUGCUUGUCGGUGACGCAGCUAACGCAUUAAGCACUCCGCCUGGGGAGUACGGUCGCAAGAUUAAAACUUAAAGGAAUUGACGGGGGCCCGCACAAGCGGUGGAGCAUGUGGUUUAAUUCUAAGCAACGCGCAGAACCUUACCACUUUCUGACAUGACCAGGACCACCAGAGAGAUCUGGCUUUCCCUU